rnacentral:tRNA from 1 species
AGGGAUGUGGCUCAGUAAUAGAGCAAUUUCCUGGUAUGUAUGAGGCCCUGGGUUUGAUCCCUAGCACCUCAA